GAUGAACGCUGGCGGCGUGCCUAAUACAUGCAAGUCGAGCGAACAGACGAGGAGCUUGCUCCUCUGACGUUAGCGGCGGACGGGUGAGUAACACGUGGAUAACCUACCUAUAAGACUGGGAUAACUUCGGGAAACCGGAGCUAAUACCGGAUAAUAUAUUGAACCGCAUGGUUCAAUAGUGAAAGACGGUUUUGCUGUCACUUAUAGAUGGAUCCGCGCCGCAUUAGCUAGUUGGUAAGGUAACGGCUUACCAAGGCAACGAUGCGUAGCCGACCUGAGAGGGUGAUCGGCCACACUGGAACUGAGACACGGUCCAGACUCCUACGGGAGGCAGCAGUAGGGAAUCUUCGGCAAUGGGCGAAAGCUUGACGGAGCAACGCCGCGUGAGUGAUGAAGGUCUUCGGAUCGUAAAACUCUGUUAUUAGGGAAGAACAAAUGUGUAAGUAACUAUGCACGUCUUGACGGUACCUAAUCAGAAAGCCACGGCUAACUACGUG
rnacentral:rRNA from 1 species